rnacentral:rRNA from 1 species
CCUACGGGGUGCAGCAGUGGGGAGUAUUGCACAAUGGGCGCAAGCCUGAUGCAGCCAUGCCGCGUGUAUGAAGAAGGCCUUCGGGUUGUAAAGUACUUUCAGCGGGGAUGAAGGGAGUAAAGUUAAUACCUUUGCUCAUUGACGUUACCCGCAGAAGAAGCACCGGCUAACUCCGUGCCAGCAGCCGCGGUAAUACGGAGGGUGCAAGCGUUAAUCGGAAUUACUGGGCGUAAAGCGCACGCAGGCGGUUUGUUAAGUCGGAUGUGAAAUCCCCGGGCUCAACCUGGGAACUGCAUUCGAAACUGGCAGGCUGGAGUCUUGUAGAGGGGGGUAGAAUUCCAGGUGUAGCGGUGAAAUGCGUAGAGAUCUGGAGGAAUACCGGUGGCGAAGGCGGCCCCCUGGACGAAGACUGACGCUCAGGUGCGAAAGCGUGGGGAGCAAACAGGAUUAGAUACCCCGGUAGUC